UUGAUAGAAAUUAGCAAAGUAUACGUAAAAUAUUUGUCAAGAUAAACCUCUUUGGACUUAAUACAUGACAAAUAAUUAAACCAAAGUUCAAAUGGUUGGUUAAAGACAACCUACAAUGUCAAUUAUUUAGAACAUCAAGGAGUACUUCCGUAAUUCAAAAUUUAUUGAAUGCUACAAAUAUACUCCAUCUAUCCCAUGAAAAAUACAAUUAUAUAAUUCAAAAUUUAUCCCACAAACAAUGCAAUAGUAGCUUUUGGACCAACUUUACAUGUAACUCUUGCCUAAUAAUAUAUUUUUUUGCGAGGGCCUAAGGAUAUAAUUAGAAGCACCUAAGUCAUUUUCCUUCAUCACUGCUGUCCUAGAAUUCCUAGGAUUAUAUUCUUCAUGGGAUGGAGGGAGUAUGCUAAUAACAAACAAUGGUUAAAGACACAAAUUAACAACAAAAUUUUUUGUUAACAUAGAAUCGUAUAAUGUCCCACAACAAAAGUAUUUUUGACUAAACUACAGGCUUAAGUCUUUCAAGGCUCCCACAGUUUCCCUUCAUUCAGACUUGAACAGGCUUGUGUUGAGCCUAAAAAGCAUGGUUCGAACACU
rnacentral:lncRNA from 1 species